AGUGAGGAAUAUUGGUCAAUGGACGCAAGUCUGAACCAGCCAUGUCGCGUGAAGGAAGACGGUUCUAUGGAUUGUAAACUUCUUUUAUACGGGAAUAAUGGUCACUACGUGUAGUGAUUUGAAGGUACCGUAUGAAUAAGCACCGGCUAACUCCGUGCCAGCAGCCGCGGUAAUACGGAGGGUGCGAGCGUUAUCCGGAUUUAUUGGGUUUAAAGGGUGCGUAGGUGGACUAAUAAGUCAGUGGUGAAAUCUUGCAGCUUAACUGUAAAACUGCCAUUGAUACUGUUAGUCUUGAAUUUAGUUGAGGUAGGCGGAAUGUGUUGUGUAGCGGUGAAAUGCAUAGAUAUAACACAGAACACCGAUUGCGAAGGCAGCUUACUAAGCUAUAAUUGACGCUGAUGCACGAAAGCGUGGGUAGCGAA
rnacentral:rRNA from 1 species